rnacentral:rRNA from 1 species
AACGUAGGAGACAAACGUUAUCCGGAGUUACUGGGCGUAAAGGGCGUGUAGGUGGUUACGUAAGUCUGGCGUGAAAUUUUUCGGCUUAACCGGGAAAGGUCGUCGGAUACUGCGGGACUAGAGGACGGUAGAGGCGUGUGGAAUUCCGGGUGUAGUGGUGAAAUGCGUAGAGAUCCGGAGGAACACCAGUGGCGAAGGCGGCUUUCUGGACAAAAACUGACGCUGAGGCGCGAAAGCUAGGGGAGCAAACAGG